GUUUUAGGGUUUUGUUUUUUUUUUUGCUUUGAUUGUAGACUAGAGUUUGAAAAGAUGUGUUAACUAGGGGCCUACUCACAGGAGGUGAGCUCGGUACUGCGUCCUGCCUGGGCCAGGGGCCAGGCCACCCCCAGGCCUCUGACUAUGUUCUGGGCACACUCCCUAGAUUCCUGAUGUGAUGUGCAGGGAAGGUCACUGGCAUCCCUGCCACCCCAUGUGUCUGAGAAGUACCUACUCCAGUGUCCAGAGAGGCCUCCCAGCUGGCAGCGGAAGUGUGAACCCAGGAUCCCAGUACUCUGCUCUCCAUUUCUCACCUUGUUCAUUGCCUAUCAAGCUGCUGCCCUGAUAGGGUCUGGUCACUGUCGCAUCCACAGGGCUUUCUGCUAUGCUGAUGGCCAUCUAAUCUCCAGGACUCGUGGCUCUACCAGCUUCUGGCUGCCACCUGCGUUCCUUGGCUUGUGCCUCCUUCUACACAUCAAUGUCAUCUUCUUCCUGCGCUGCAAUUGUAUCUCCCUCUGCCUCCCUCAUAUGAGGAAACUAGAGAUUCUACCAUUGGGCCCUCCUAGACCAUCUGGG
rnacentral:lncRNA from 1 species